rnacentral:tRNA from 1 species
CCGACGAUAGCUCAGUCGGCAGAGCGGAGGACUGUUGAAUGUUACGCAGUGAUCCUUAAGUCGCGGGGUUCGAAUCCACCUGGUCGGA